rnacentral:ncRNA from 12 species
GACAUUCGAGGUGGUAAAUUUCGUACAAACCACACACCGAAGGCAGGCAAAAGCCGAGAGAUGCGGGAGAACUGUACGCCCGCCGAAUGUA